rnacentral:rRNA from 1 species
AGCAUUUGCUGUACCGCGUUGACGGAGCGAAGCGACGUCAAACCGAUAAAACAGCAGUGUAAAGUGAGCCGCAGGGCGCUUUGCGCGACAGCGCAAAGGCAGGCGGUUUCGCGUAGCGAAAGCGAAUGCUUUGGGGUGGGGUGACUGCGUACCUUUUGUAUAAUGGGUCAGCGACUUAUAUUCUGUAGCAAGGUUAACCGAAUAGGGGAGCCGGAGGGAAACCGAGUCUUAAUUGGGCGUUAAGUUGCAGGGUAUAGACCCGAAACCCGGUGAUCUAGCCAUGGGCAGGUUGAAGGUUGGGUAACACUAACUGGAGGACCGAACCGACUAAUGUUGAAAAAUUAGCGGAUGACCUGUGGCUGGGGGUGAAAGGCCAAUCAAACCGGGAGAUAGCUGGUUCUCCCCGAAAGCUAUUUAGGUAGCGCCUCGUGAAUUCAUCUCCGGGGGUAGAGCACUGUUUCGGCUAGGGGGCCAUCCCGGCUUACCAACCCGAUGCAAACUGCGAAUACCGGAGAAUGUUAUCACGGGAGACACACGGCGGGUGCUAACGUCCGUCGUGAAGAGGGAAACAACCCAGACCGCCAGCUAAGGUCCCAAAGUCAUGGUUAAGUGGGAAACGAUGUGGGAAGGCCCAGACAGCCAGGAUGUUGGCUUAGAAGCAGCCAUCAUUUAAAGAAAGCGUAAUAGCUCACUGGUCGAGUCGGCCUGCGCGGAAGAUGUAACGGGGCUAAACCAUGCACCGAAGCUGCGGCAGCGACACUGUGUGUUGUUGGGUAGGGGAGCGUUCUGUAAGCCUGUGAAGGUGUGUCGUGAGGCAUGCUGGAGGUAUCAGAAGUGCGAAUGCUGACAUAAGUAACGAUAAAGCGGGUGAAAAGCCCGCUCGCCGGAAGACCAAGGGUUCCUGUCCAACGUUAAUCGGGGCAGGGUGAGUCGACCCCUAAGGCGAGGCCGAAAGGCGUAGUCGAUGGGAAACGGGUUAAUAUUCCCGUACUUGGUGUUACUGCGAAGGGGGGACGGAGAAGGCUAUGUUGGCCGGGCGACGGUUGUCCCGGUUUAAGCGUGUAGGUGUGUGUUCCAGGUAAAUCCGGUUCACUUUAACACUGAGGCGUGACGACGAGGCACUACGGUGCUGAAGCAACAAAUGCCCUGCUUCCAGGAAAAGCCUCUAAGCAUCAGGUAACAUCAAAUCGUACCCCAAACCGACACAGGUGGUCAGGUAGAGAAUACCAAGGCGCUUGAGAGAACUCGGGUGAAGGAACUAGGCAAAAUGGUGCCGUAACUUCGGGAGAAGGCACGCUGACACGUAGGUGAAGUGAUUUACUCAUGGAGCUGAAGUCAGUCGAAGAUACCAGCUGGCUGCAACUGUUUAUUAAAAACACAGCACUGUGCAAACACGAAAGUGGACGUAUACGGUGUGACGCCUGCCCGGUGCCGGAAGGUUAAUUGAUGGGGUCAGCGCAAGCGAAGCUCCUGAUCGAAGCCCCGGUAAACGGCGGCCGUAACUAUAACGGUCCUAAGGUAGCGAAAUUCCUUGUCGGGUAAGUUCCGACCUGCACGAAUGGCGUAAUGAUGGCCAGGCUGUCUCCACCCGAGACUCAGUGAAAUUGAACUCGCUGUGAAGAUGCAGUGUACCCGCGGCAAGACGGAAAGACCCCGUGAACCUUUACUAUAGCUUGACACUGAACAUUGAGCCUUGAUGUGUAGGAUAGGUGGGAGGCUUUGAAGUGUGGACGCCAGUCUGCAUGGAGCCGACCUUGAAAUACCACCCUUUAAUGUUUGAUGUUCUAACGUGGACCCGUUACCCGGGUUGCGGACAGUGUCUGGUGGGUAGUUUGACUGGGGCGGUCUCCUCCUAAAGAGUAACGGAGGAGCACGA